AAGAGCCGUAUGAAUCGAGAGAUUCACGUACGGUUCUGUGAGGGCCUGAGGGUGAAAUCCCCUCGGGCUACUCGAC
rfam:Aliiroseovarius crassostreae strain CV919-312 plasmid unnamed, complete sequence, whole genome shotgun sequence.